rnacentral:rRNA from 1 species
UGGGGAAUUGUUCGCAAUGGGCGCAAGCCUGACGACGCAACGCCGCGUGGAGGACGAAGAUCUUCGGGUCGUAAACUCCUUUCGAUCGGGAAGAACGCCUCUGGAGUGAAUAACUCCGGAGGGUGACGGUACCGAGAGAAGAAGCCCCGGCUAACUCCGUGCCAGCAGCCGCGGUAAUACGGGGGGGGCAAGCGUUGUUCGGAAUUACUGGGCGUAAAGGGCUCGUAGGCGGCCAACUAAGUCGGAUGUGAAAUCCCCAGGCUUAACCUGGGAACUGCAUCCGAUACUGGAUGGCUUGAAUCCGGGAGAGGGAUGCGGAAUUCCAGGUGUAGCGGUGAAAUGCGUAGAUAUCUGGAGGAACACCGGUGGCGAAGGCGGCAUCCUGGACCGGCAUUGACGCUGAGGAGCGAAAGCCAGGGGAGCAAACGG